AUUGAACGCUGGCGGCAGGCCUAACACAUGCAAGUCGAGCGAGCGGCGGACGGGUGAGUAAUGUCUGGGAAACUGCCUGAUGGAGGGGGAUAACUACUGGAAAAGGUAGCUAAUACCGCAUACCAUCAGAUGUGCCCAGAGGGGAUUAGCUAGUAGGUGGGGUAAAGGCUCACCUAGGCGACGAUGCCUAGCUGGUCUGAGAGGAUGACCAGCCACACUGGAACUGUGACACGGUCCAGACUCCUACGGGAGGCAGCAGUGGGGAAUAUUGCACAAUGGGCGCAAGCCUGAUGCAGCCAUGCCGCGUGUGUGAAGAAGGCCUUAGGGUUGUAAAGCACUUUCAGCGAGGAGGCGUUACUCGCAGAAGAAGCACCGGCUAACUCCGUGCCAGCAGCCGCGGUAAUUC
rnacentral:rRNA from 1 species